GGGGGUGUUCUGGUUUCGACGGAGAUGGGCGGGGACAUUGUAAGCGAGCUGCGGACCCUGAACCGCAUACCAACAGGGAAAUAAAAGUAACUGACAACAAUCAGAAACUAGCCUUCGCGGCCUAAGUCCGCGAACGUCGUUUUCAGAUACUCACAGUCUGAAGUAACGGCGCCAUUUAUGUGAGGAACGGGUGCUCCAAAGCUUUGAGGAGAUGCCUGAAUUAUGAAGCUACCGAUAUAGUUUUACCUGCCUAUAGGGGCACUAUAGAGGGAAUGUAAAUAUAUAGGCUGCGCUCGGAGAAAACGGUGUACUGCGUUUUCGGACAGGGGUUCGACUCCCCUCACCUCCACCA
rnacentral:tmRNA from 1 species